AAACCGGUGGCAGCCAUUAACUGGCGAACGUGAAUUCGCACUAGCCGUCUAAAGAGCGGCUACGUCCGCCCACUGCAAGUCCCGGAUGCGGGGGUGCGGGCGCCAAGAGUCCGGGAUGCGGGUGUUCCUGUGCCGAUAAGGGGCAGCCAAAGAUUGAUCGGCUGGCGUCUCGGAGAUUCCGUCGGUGGAAGCUCUGAGGGGCGAGACUUAAAGCACCGGACAAGCUUGUAGUAGAUCCGACCAGGGGGCCUUUUGGACGGGGAGUUCGACUCUCCCCCGUCUCCACCA
rnacentral:tmRNA from 1 species